rnacentral:sRNA from 1 species
AUGUGUGUCCCUCUUGAAGCUGUGCACUGGUCAAUAGUAACAUUUUCUCCAAUAGAGAAGGACUGUUCUUCAGGUAAGAGUAUAGGAGUGACUGAAAACUCAUGCACGAAUCUCUAAACAAGCUUUCAAGGUGGGAUUUCACUCUAACCCAGGCUGGCAUCAAAAUCGCAGUAAACUACCUGUUUCAGUUC